GUCAGUAACCCAUUUCCCCCUUUUCCCAUUUACCCUUUUCGACAUUUCUCCCUAACCUAACCCUAAGCCUGUGCCCUCCUCCCAUUUUUCUCAAUUCGAGUUCACCUCCGGCAGCAAUCCACCUCUGAUCCUCCACCGAUCCACGACCAGACCUCCACGGCUCCACCCAUUUCCAGAAUCAGAGGUUAGAGCGAAGCUACAAACGUUGUUGCCUUAUAGUUCCUUUUUUGUUUGAUGUCUUUUGUUUAUAAUCUGUUUAUAAUCUUCUUUAUAAUCUGUUGAUGUUGCCUUACUGAUGUUGCCUUACAGUUCCCUUUGUUUAGCUGUUUAUAAUUUGUCGUUGUUGCCUACUAUUGUUGCCUUACAGUUCCAUUUGUUUCGUUGUUGCCUUACUGUUGUUGCAUUGCAUCUCAAUAUUUUUAUGGACAUUUAAUUUAUGCUUUACAAGAUUCAUUCACUGCGACAUUCUUAAACAUAUGAUUCCUUUUUUUUUAUCAAAUAUUUAACAUAUGAUUUUUGUCUCCAAAUCCAAAGUCAAAUAAUUAUAUAUAAAACUUUAUUUGCAAUAUGAUAUUGCUGUUUGACUCACUUCCAAGUGAACUUAUAUGGGCAUUUUAGCUCUUAAUUUGUGUUUUAAGCUAUUAUCCCAGGAGUUAACAUCAAAAACUUUGUAAUAAUAUUCAUGUAACUAAAUAAAUUGAUUGCGACAAGCUGACGUUAGUUGAAUUAAGGGUACCAAUCCUAAAUAAUUUUUAUUUUCUAUCACAAAUGGCAGACAAUUUGCUUCUUCCAUCCACUGACUGUUGUACCAAGUGCCUGUUUUAUAAUCUGUCUUCUGUUUUCUCUUAAUUUCUCUUACUUUCUCUUAUUUGAAAUUUUAUACUCUGGUUUAUAUUCUGGUUUAUAAUCUGGUUUAUACCUUGUUGCUUCUUUUUUAUAUCUGAAAUUUUAUAUUCUGGUUUAUAAUCUGGUUUAUACCUUGUUGCUUCUUUUUUUAUAUAUGAAAUUUUAUAUUCUGGUUUAUAAUCUGGUUUAUACCUUGUUGCUUCUUUUUUUAUAUAUGAAAUUUUAUAUUCUGGUUUAUAAUCUGGUUUAUACCUUGAUGCUUCUUUUUUAUAUUUGUGACAUUUUUUGACAGUUUUGGUAUUAUUUGACAGUUUUUUGCAGCUUAAAACUUAAAAGCAAUAGCAGUGCUUAUUGCCCAAUGAUAAUAUGCUGCUAGUCCUUAUUACUUGUAUAAUCAUUUUUAUUUUUAUUCUCUUUUUUUAAGAAUUGAUUGUUAGUUUGUUACCUAAAUGUCACAAAUGUGUUAUUAUAGACAAUUAAAUAACAUUUAAAUUCAAUUAGUUGUUAAUUUUUUAAACUUACAGUGUAUUAGUUUAGUGUAAUACUACAUCAAUUCUAACAUAAAGUUUAUAGAUAACAUGAUGAAAGCUAUUAUUUUAAAUUUUUUUCAUUAUAUACAAAAAAAAAUAUAAUUUGAUAUUUGAUAUAACUUUAAUAAAAAUUAGUUUUAACUUUUAAGUUAAAAAAAGGGCCGGACCGGGCCGGGCUUCAUAUUUUUUCCACGGGCUGGGCUUGGGUUACAUCUCAAGCUCAUAUUUCGGGCUGGGCCUGGCCUAGUAAGCGGGCCGAAUUUUUUUUCUGAGCCCGGCCCGAAUUUGGCCCGGCCCAUGAGCACCUCUAGAGGGGAUAGACCACAUGAGAUUUGAGGGUCUCUUGGUAGUCGUUGUUUGUUUAAUCUUUGUUUAAUCUGGUUUGAUUAAAGUAAAACAUCUCUAGUUUGUUUAUGAAUUAUUCUAGUAUUGUGAUUACUUAAUUUAUCUUUUUCCUCCUUUGGGAUUAUUUAUUUUGAAGACAUAGUUUUUGGGCAUCAAGUUGUAUUAUCUUAUUUCUCGUUUAUGCCAUGUGUUAUGUUUUUGUAUUCUUAUCUUUCAGGGUUUUUUCUUCGAACAAAUAAAAAUAAUAUUUUGAAAAUUCUUAAAAAUGCUUAUAUACAUAAAACUUGAUUACUCUUUUAAAAUUUAUGUUGAUGUUAAAAGUGUAUAUAUUUUUUAUUGUAUUAACAUGAAAUUAAGAUAAGAGGUUAAAAUUCAGAAUAUACUUGCAUUAAUAUUAAAAUCGAGAGUUUUUAUGAGAAAUUUAAGAGUUUUAUUUUUAAUAUUUUAAUGUGCUCACAAAUUAUUCUUCCGAAAUCAAAUUUAAUCCAGCCUUUUAUUAUUAGUUGAAUGAAAGGAUUUGUAAUAAAAUAAUAAUAUUAAAACAUAAAUAAAUAAUUUAAAUUUAAAUCAAGCUUCUUAUCCCAUAAAUAAUAAAUUGAAGGCCUACAUAUUUCCUUGUUUUGGAUUUCAAUAUAUUAUAUUGAUAGCAUAGGACCUAAUAUGAUAACAGCACACAUUUUACCAAAUCUAAUCAUCAUUAAUUCAUUAAAAAGGCAUGCAUGUCCAGCUCCAACAUCACAAUAUUCCACACAACAGCAAAAACAACUUGAAGCAUAAAUUUAAUUUUAUGACUCAAACAAAUUAUUCAACAACAUUUUAAGAGUUGAUGUCAGAUCUUGGAAUCAAAAGCUAUGAUAGUGCUGAGAUUCGUAGGAUUCAUGUAUUCAUUAGACCCUGUCAUUAUCUGUUCUACGAUCAAUUUGUUAGCUUUCUCCGAUGGAUGAAAUGGAUCCCAAAACGCAUAUAGAUCUCUGUUCGGACAUAAAUUCGACAAUUGAGUACAUAAACCCAGUCCAUUGUAAGGUCCUUGUCCGCAACAGGCUAUCUCUGAUGUUGUAAAUCCUGUUUCAAACCAAUUUUUUCAUAUAUUUGAAGAGUCUUAAGAAGUUAUAUCUUUAUACCUAUAUCCAGAUAUAUGUCAAAUAUGAAUACUUCAAAAGUAAUUUAUUUAGGGUAAAAUUCUCCACAUAUCUAUAUAUAAUUUAGAAAAAAAUUAAGUAUAGUCAUUCAAAUAUAUUCUUAGUAUGAACAUUAAAGAAAAGUUACUCGAAUUCGAAUGUGAAGGUUGAACAUAGAUAUGUGUUAAUUUUUUGGUGUGUGUGGAGAGGAUAAAGUCUGAGAUAGGGAAGUACGUACCAAAGGCUUGAGGGUCACUAACGAAAUCAUUGUGCAUUUUUUGAGUAUUUGCACUGAUGAAGACAUCUCUGCCAAUUUUAUCAUUGAGUCCAUUAAUCAUCUGAACAAGUUGUGGAUUGUACAAGGAAGCAGCGCGUUGCAGUUCUUGUGAGCAUCCGCCAUUGUUGCCCCUCAUUGCAAGUUCUGCUGGAACACAACCCAAUGGUCCUGUGCCUGUCACUAGAACCCUUCGUGCUCCCGCUUUGUAUAGCUUCUGCAAUAAUCAACAAAGGGUUAGUAAAUAUUCUUAUGUCCAAACUGGCAUGCCAAUUUAGGGUAGAAAAUUUACCAUCAAGAGUUUUCGAUAUUCGGAAAUGAGAAAGCGGACAUAAUCAGGCAAACUGUAUUGUCUAGAUCUUGCAGAGAAGGGAACCAAGUAAUAGUUGUUGACGAAAUCAUUACCACCCACUGUAAUAAGGACAAGUGCUUGGUUUACUACUCGAUUAGCUUGCCUUGUUCCAACUAAACCUGACAAUCUUCGCUUGUAUUCUUCAAACAACUCCAACUGUCUAUACAUUCUCAGUAUAUUUACCUGUUUUCCCAACAUUUUUACACCAAAUUAUUUGAGUUCAAUUAAAAAAAAAUCGGCUUAGUCAUUGUCAAUCAAAAUUAAGUUUAAUUUGUAACUUACGAAUUGAACUCCAGUGUCAUUAAGGAUUCCCACACCAGCUGAAGCAAAGUUAGCACCAAGAAGCAGCUUUUUACCAUUAAAAUCUGGGCUCAAAUAUGGCAAUGGUGACUCCGACAAUCCAAUUUGCUUACCUGCAUUGCAUGCCAUGCAUUCAAAUUAAUUACAUUUAUCUUGUCUACACCAACAUAUAUUAGAAACUUAUAUACCAAUCAGGUCUGGGAUGUUAAGGCCAUUAGAGAAACGGCCGGUGGGUCUUCCUGUCGGAUAAUCGAUGCCGUAAGGUGGGGAAUCAG
rnacentral:lncRNA from 1 species